rnacentral:misc_RNA from 1 species
GAUGAAGAACGCAGCGAAAUGCGAUACUUGGUGUGAAUUGCAGAAUCCCGUGAACCAUCGAGUCUUUGAACGCAAGUUGCGCCCGAAGCCAUUAGGCCGAGGGCACGCCUGCCUGGGCGUCACACGUCGUUGCCCCCCCCCAUCUACUCCUUCGGGAUUGCGGGGGGCGGAUGAUGGCCUCCCGUGUGCCUCGCCGCGCGGUUGGCAUAAAUGCCAAGUCCUCGGCGACGCACGCCACGACAAUCGGUGGUUGCGAAACCUCGGUUGCCCGUCGUGUGCGGUCGUCGCGCAUCGAGGGCUCGAAAAAAUUGUCGGGUUCCGGCUCGGCUUUCAACGCGACCCCAGGUCAGGCGGGGUUACCCGCUGAAUUUAAGCAUAUCAAUAAGCGGAGGA